UAAAAGAUAAGCUAAGAAAGCUAAUGGGUUCAUACCCCGUGAAUGAAGAUGGAUCUUCUCUUUUGA
rnacentral:tRNA from 1 species